rnacentral:misc_RNA from 1 species
GAUGAAGAACGUAGCGAAAUGCGAUAAGUAAUGUGAAUUGCAGAAUUCAGUGAAUCAUCGAAUCUUUGAACGCACAUUGCGCCCAUUAGUAUUCUAGUGGGCAUGCCUGUUCGAGCGUCAUUAAGUCCACUUAAGCCCUGCUUAGUGUUGGGAGACUGCUCCAGCGGUGCUACCCUGUAGCUACCCUGCAGCUCCUCAAAGACAGCGGCGGAGUUGUGGUAUCCUCUGAGCUUAGUAACUUGUUCUAGCUUUCGAGUACACCACUUCCCCUGCCGUAAAACCCUUAAUUUUUAAUGGUUGACCUCGGAUCAGGUAGGAAUACCCGCUGAACUUAAGCAUAUCAAUAAGCGGAGGAA